rnacentral:rRNA from 1 species
UGAGGAAUAUUGGUCAAUGGACGCAAGUCUGAACCAGCCAAGUAGCGUGCAGGAUGACGGCCCUAUGGGUUGUAAACUGCUUUUAUAUGGGGAUAAAGUGGGGAACGUGUUCCCUUUUGCAGGUACCAUAUGAAUAAGGACCGGCUAAUUCCGUGCCAGCAGCCGUGGUAAUACGGAAGGUUCGGGCGUUAUCCGGAUUUAUUGGGUUUAAAGGGAGCGUAGGCCGUUUGGUAAGCGUGUUGUGAAAUGUAGGAGCUCAACUUCUAGAUUGCAGCGCGAACUGUCAGACUUGAGUGCGCACAACGUAGGCGGAAUUCAUGGUGUAGCGGUGAAAUGCUUAGAUAUCAUGAAGAACUCCGAUUGCGAAGGCAGCUUACGGGAGCGCAACUGACGCUGAAGCUCGAAGGUGCGGGUAUCGAACAGG